rnacentral:rRNA from 1 species
AGUAGAGUGGCGCACGGGUGAGUAACACGUGGAUAACCUGCCCUGGAGUCCGGGAUAACACUUCGAAAGGGGUGCUAAUACCGGAUAAGCCCACGCCUUCUUCGGAAGAAGUGGGAAAAGAUUUAUUGCUCUAGGAUGGGUCCGCGGUCCAUUAGCUAGUUGGUGGGGUAAUGGCCUACCAAGGCUGCGAUGGAUAGCUGGUCUGAGAGGAUGAUCAGCCACACUGGAACUGAGACACGGUCCAGACUCCUACGGGAGGCAGCAGUGGGGAAUUUUGCGCAAUGGGGGAAACCCUGACGCAGCAAUACCGCGUGAAGGAUGAAGGCCUUUGGGUCGUAAACUUCUGUCAGAGGGGAAGAAAUACUCGCAAGAGUGCUGACGGUACCCUCAAAGGAAGCACCGGCUAACUCCGUGCCAGCAGCCGCGGUAAUACGGAGGGUGCAAGCGUUGUUCGGAAUUAUUGGGCGUAAAGAGCAUGUAGGCGGACUGUUAAGUCUGGUGUGAAAGCCCGGGGCUCAACCCCGGAAGUGCAUCG